GAUGAACGCUGGCGGCGUGCCUAAUACAUGCAAGUCGAGCGAACGGACGAGAAGCUUGCUUCUCUGAUGUUAGCGGCGGACGCGUGAGUAACACGUGGAUAACCUACCUAUAAGACUGGGAUAACUUCGGGAAACCGGAGCUAAUACCGGAUAAUAUUUUGAACCGCAUGGUUCAAAAGUAAAAGACGGUCUUGCUGUCACUUAUAGAUGGAUCCGCGCUGCAUUAGCUAGUUGGUAAGGUAACGGCUUACCAAGGCAACGAUGCAUAGCCGACCUGAGAGGGUGAUCGGCCACACUGGAACUGAGACACGGUCCAGACUCCUACGGGAGGCAGCAGUAGGGAAUCUUCCGCAAUGGGCGAAAGCCUGACGGAGCAACGCCGCGUGAGUGAUGAAGGUCUUCGGAUCGUAAAACUCUGCUAUUAGGGAAGAACAUAUGUGUAAGUAACUGUGCACAUCUUGACGGUACCUAAUCAGAAAGCCACGGCUAACUACGUG
rnacentral:rRNA from 1 species